rnacentral:lncRNA from 1 species
UAAAUAAACAAUUUGUCACUACAUAUGAACAACCUCAGAAAUUUCCAGAAUUAAAAAUCACUCAAAUCAUCUCUAAAAAAUUUCAGCUCAUAAACAAAAUAAAUACCGGCAAGUGACAGAUCCGGGAGAGCAACAAUGGUUGGGCAAGUGCAGAUCCGAGUGAGCAACAACAAAGUAGCAGUAGACGAAGAUCCGAGAGAGCAAAGGCAAAGUAGCAGCAGCUGGACGGAGUCGGAGCAGCAGCGGUUACGGCGGAGAAAGAGCAGCGGCAGUGGCUAGCACACCAAGAGCGACCAAGAGAGAGAUUUGCUGCAACUGGAUUGAGAAAAU